AAGAAGCAGCCAAUCAAAUUUAUGAGCAGAUAUCUUAGAUGGUCAAUGGACAGGAAAUAGUUAAAAGGAAACCUAGUAAUGUCUUGCUUUGUGGUCCUGCAGCUUGGAUGCUCUGAGUGAAAAUGAAAUAGGAGAUGAAGGAACAAAAAGUCUCUGUGAAGUAUUGUCUGAGCUGACAUCACUGGAAACGUUGAACUUAUCACAGAACAAGAUAACAGAUUUGGGUGCAGAACAACUAGCUACUGCUCUUCCUUCCUUAUCCUCAUUAAAGACACUUAGUUUGUACAAUAACUACAUUUGUGAUGCUGGAGCGGAAAAUAUAGCAAAAAUACUUCCUGCAAUGGCAUCUUUGAGGGUGCUACAUGUUCAGUGUAACAAGAUAACUGAUGCAGGAGCCCAGAAGCUGACUGAUAGCCUCAGAAAAUGCCCCCACAUCAAGAGUGUGGCGAUGUGGAAUCCUAUUAUUCCCUAUGGUGUUCUGGAGCACCUUCAACAGCUAGAUUCUAGAAUCAGUUUGCUGUAGAAUCAGCUGAUCCUGUGAAGGUAAUAUUAAGAAGAGGUGAAAUUAUUACUGAAUUUUCCCAUCUUGUUUGCUGCUUUAUGAAUGAGGAAAAAAUGUAGCAACUACACUGGUUUUCCUGAGAGCUACUGAAUGGAAAGUUACAUUGGAGCUUCUGAGGACAGUUGAAAACAGCAGAAGUCCACAUGCUUAUACUGUAGUUAAGCAGGUCCAUUCAAAUGCUAUUCAAAUGGACUGAUUCUGCUCCCCUUGAACAAGCCAUUAAGAGUUAUGUAGGAUGAAGCUUCACAGGUGUAAAGAAGACCACGCUACAGAGGUCACCAUUAAAAAUAAUCAGAGGUUGCUUCCAUAAUAUAAAACUGUAUAAUAGCCACCACACUUCCCACACAGUCUGAUGGAAUUAAGUCUAUGGGAACAGUGGCCUAUAGCUGUGGAUAAGGUGAGUCUUUUUUGUGAUGCCUACUGUAUCUGAAACUGCUGCUGGCACGGUGAGAUUGAACAAUCAAAGUCCAGUGUUGGAGUUUUCACAUGCAAAUCUCCAUUGUAAGCACUAGGGUUUAGAACAUUUAGCAAGAUUGCUCAGCCUAAAGAUGGGAGCAUACUGAUAUAGGGGCAUGAAAAUCCCAGCAUAUUUACCCAAUCGUAUGAAUUUACAGGUGGCACUUUGUCAGCAUUUUUGUCAAAUGUUACACUAAUCACAUCUGCAGUGAUAAUGUUGCUUUCUUAUGGUGUUUCACCCAAAUCUGUUAUUCACUUAUUGCUGAUAUAGAGCCCUUUAAAUAAGAUGACAAAGGAAAAAAUUACCAGGAAAGGCGAAAUUAAAGGUAGAAAAUGCGAAUGAUUUUUAACAAAAGAGCUUCACAGAAAUCCACAGACAUUUAAAAGGGUUCAAUCUGCUGCACAGAAAUCCUGAAAAAUGACUGUGGAAAUACGCAAUCAGAUUUUUAACUGGUCUUAAAUGAGAUCUGAAAACUGACAUAUCUGAAUGAAUGGAAAGUUUGUUUGAACUGACUGUGGGGAAGUCAUAGAAAAACCUGAGGGUCCAAAUCAUUAACAAAAAAUACAUGUCAAAUUGCACACAAUGCUUCUGUGAAGCAAAAGAUUUGAAAUUGAAAGUUUUGAUUUUGAAAAUGAAUAUGUAUUCUCUCUCCUAUUCAUGUUCAGGAACUGGAUUCAGGGUUCUGCGAUCUCUCACUUACCUUUCCCAACAAGAUAGUUGAAACAGACUGUUCAACAAUCACAACUUAAACAUGAAAUCACAACUUCACAUUUUUUCAUAGACCACAUUUACAGAGUCUCAAAGAUCAAGGCAUGCUAGACAAGCCAAUUUCAGUAUAUCAGCACAUUUAGCUGCUAGUCUCUGUAUAUAAUGAUCCAAAUUCUGAUCCUACUGAAUUGAGUGGCGAGAUGUUGAUUUCCCGUUUAUUUCAGAUUGCCCAUAUGAUAUUGGAGGAGUUUUAUGGUUUUCUAGAGACAAGUGUCAGGACAAGCAUAAUGAUUUCCUGUGCAAAGGACUGGGAAUGGGAAAAAUGAGAUUAAAUGGGAGAAGCUGGAGAUGACUUUAUAUACUCCAAAAAUUGUAAGGCUAGAUUCUUGCACCUCAUUCUGGUAUUGCAAAGUAGCUCAAAGCUAGCUCAACCAGCUGCUGAAAACUAGCUCAAUCAGCUACUUGAAAAAUUUCCCUUGGUAAGAGGAAACCCAGAAUGGCAUAGAGACUCCACCAUCUCCCUUAGAUAUAGGGACCAAAGUGCAGCUGCAUUCCAGCUAUUCCUGGCUGCUGGAACAGCCCCUGGAGGUCAAAGGUAGCCAGGUGUAGGCUACUCUAAUUUAAUCUGAUGACCAGUCCUUUGCAGACCCCAAAUUCUAGGACAGGUCCCAGUGGCUGUACAUAGUUACUCAUCUGUGCUAAUGUUUCUCAUUGGAAUAGCUUUCCCAUACUAUCACACAUUGGUUGGCUAAUUCCAGCCAUGUGCAAAACACUUGAGGCAAUGCAUCUUCCUGUUGAACUUGAAAGGUUAGUGAGACGGUCAUCUGCUCAGGAGCAACCACAGAAACCUGGUCUCUGCUGACUUCUGAAACACACUCAUAUGUUCUCAUUCCUUUGUCUAAAGGCAACCUACCUUGAGAUGAGCCUUCAAGUUCUUUCCAACAACUUAUGCCUUUCUGCUGACAUUUCUCUGUUUCCAGAAUCUCUUCACAGGGGACAAAGAAAGGACCAAAUAAAGAAAAGGGGCAAUGGAGGAUUGAACCAGCUUUAAAAAGGGGAUGGAGGGUGGGAGAAGACCAGCUGAAUGGAGGUAAUGGUGAGGGGGGGACAGGGAUGGGGGCAGAUGGAAUCCAGGUGAUCAUGUUUGUAGUUGGAAAAGGAGCCAUUUUCCUCAUUUUGUGCCAGGCUUUUUAACACCUGACAGGACAGGGGAAAAACUCUCUGAAAAAAACAACAACCUAUCCCUGCUGCUCUUCCCCAUUUCAUCUUCAUGAAUGGUUUUAUAGUCUUGGGCCAACUCCUGCAUGUAAAAUUCCCACCAAUAUCCACAGACAUUCUGCAGUGCACAUUGGUGGCAACCCUAUAAAUUGUCUUUUCUUAACAAAGUUGUGGCACGGGACAAUGGAUACUAUUUUAGGGCAAUAUUUUGCAACCCCUCCUCACAGCAAGUUAUGGAAAGAUCUUACUAAACAGUCAGUGAGAUAACUAAAUGUUAUGGAGCUUUUACACUGGAUUGUAUAAAACGUUUCUUAGCUGCACUGGUAUGUUCUUUUAAUGAGUCUGAGUCAUGUAAAGAUAAUGUGUAGUUUGUAUAAACUCAGAUGCAAUUUCUUUGUGUAUUUUGUUUGUAAACUUUUUUAAAUUUAAUAAAAUUGCACAUUCUUUUUA